UUUUGAAAUUCAUUGAAAAAAGUAAACAAAGAGAAAAUCAGUUGAUUUCACCCACUACACAUUUAUGGCAUCCAAGCAUCUAAGCAUAUGCUUGUUGAAAUGUUGUUGAGAAUUCCAGCUGCAAGGCAACAAAUUUUAGCUUGAAAGGCAAAAGAGGCCACAGCCACAGGACCAGGAAGGAAAAGGAAAAUACACCCCAUGAAGACCAAAAUGAAUCCAUGCCGGACAUGUCAGAAGGCUGCAGUCAUCGGAAAUCUGGGGCUGUCCUUCCUAAUGCUUAGUGAUUGGCCAUCUAGGGAGUUUGUUUUUGUUUUUGUUUUACUUUUUAUUAAGCUACUGGUGCUUAGGAUACCUCUAGUAUAUCCAUAAGUAAGUAUUAUACUUUUCUUGAAACUAAGUAUUAAAGUUAAAAACUAUCAUUGAGAUUAAAGGAAAAAACUGCACAGACACUAGAACUUAGUUUGACAAUCAUUGUUAAGUCAUUAAGACUAGAUCAGUCUUUUAGAACUUCUCUGCUUUCAGGUCACAUUAGGACCGUUGCUCUUGAUUUUCAGUUUUGCUGUCAAGUCUUCUAUUAUACCUAUAACUCCAAUCAUAUCAUUUUCAAUCAAAGUUCCA